rnacentral:rRNA from 1 species
GGGGAAUAUUGCACAAUGGAGGAAACUCUGAUGCAGCAACGCCGCGUGAGUGAUGAAGGUCUUCGGAUUGUAAAGCUCUGUCUUCUGGGACGAUAAUGACGGUACCAGAUGAGGAAGCCACGGCUAACUACGUGCCAGCAGCCGCGGUAAUACGUAGGUGGCAAGCGUUGUCCGGAAUUACUGGGCGUAAAGGGUGCGCAGGCGGACAUUUAAGUGAGAUGUGAAAGACCCGGGCUUAACUUGGGCAGUGCAUUUCAAACUGGAUGUCUAGAGUGCAGGAGAGGAAAGCAGAAUUCCUAGUGUAGCGGUGAAAUGCGUAGAGAUUAGGAAGAAUACCAGUGGCGAAGGCGGCUUUCUGGACUGUAACUGACGCUGAGGCAUGAAAGCGUGGGGAGCAAAC